rnacentral:rRNA from 1 species
GCUUUGGGUGCGGGCCCCCGUUUAAGUGCCCUGGAACGGGCCGUCAGAGAGGGUGAGAAUCCCGUCUUGGGCGGGGUGUCCGUGCCCGUGUAAAGCUCCUUCGACGAGUCGAGUUGUUUGGGAAUGCAGCUCUAAAUGGGUGGUAAAUUUCAUCUAAAGCUAAAUACUGGCCGGAGACCGAUAGCGCACAAGUAGAGUGAUCGAAAGAUGAAAAGCACUUUGAAAAGAGAGUUAAACAGCACGUGAAAUUGUUGAAAGGGAAGCGCUUGCGACCAGACUCGCCCGCGGGGUUCAGCCGGCAUUCGUGCCGGUGUACUUCCCCGUGGGCGGGCCAGCGUCGGUUUGGGCGGCCGGUCAAAGGCCCCUGGAAUGUAGUGCCCUCCGGGGCACCUUAUAGCCAGGGGUGCAAUGCGGCCAGCCUGGACCGAGGAACGCGCUUCGGCACGGACGCUGGCAUAAUGGUCGUAAACGACCCGUCUUGAAACACGGACCAAGGAGUCUAACAUCUACGCGAGUGUUCGGGUGUCAAACCCGUGCGCGCAGUGAAAGCGAACGGAGGUGGGAGCCCCCUUGCGGGGCGCACCAUCGACCGAUCCUGAUGUCUUCGGAUGGAUUUGAGUAAGAGCGUAGCUGUGGGGACCCGAAAGAUGGUGAACUAUGCCUGAAUAGGGCGAAGCCAGAGGAAACUCUGGUGGAGGCUCGCAGCGGUU